AUCAGUGUGGUGUAGUGGUGUGAAUAUUGGCCUAUGACACUAGAGACCAGGGUUUGAAUCCCUGCUCAGCCA